UAGGGAAUCUUCCACAAUGGACGCAAGUCUGAUGGAGCAACGCCGCGUGAGUGAAGAAGGUUUUCGGAUCGUAAAGCUCUGUUGUUGGUGAAGAAGGAUAGAGGCAGUAACUGGUCUUUAUUUGACGGUAAUCAACCAGAAAGUCACGGCUAACUACGUGCCAGCAGCCGCGGUAAUACGUAGGUGGCAAGCGCUGUCCGGAUUUAUUGGGCGUAAAGCGAGCGCAGGCGGAAUGAUAAGUCUGAUGUGAAAGCCCACGGCUCAACCGUGGAACUGCAUCGGAAACUGUCAUUCUUGAGUGCAGAAGAGGAGAGUGGAAUUCCAUGUGUAGCGGUGGAAUGCGUAGAUAUAUGGAAGAACACCAGUGGCGAAGGCGGCUCUCUGGUCUGCAACUGACGCUGAGGCUCGAAAGCAUGGGUAGCGAACAGG
rnacentral:rRNA from 2 species